GUGAGGAAUAUUGCGCAAUGGAGGCAACUCUGACGCAGCCAUGCCGCGUGCAGGAAGAAGGCGCUACGCGUUGUAAACUGCUUUUAACCGGGAAGAAACCCCAGGACGUGUCCUGGGUUGACGGUACCGGAGGAAUAAGCACCGGCUAACUUCGUGCCAGCAGCCGCGGUAAUACGAAGGGUGCAAGCGUUAUCCGGAUUCAUUGGGUUUAAAGGGUGCGUAGGAGGAGCGUUAAGUCAGUGGUGAAAUCCUGCAGCUUAACUGUAGACUUGCCAUUGAUACUGGCGCGCUUGAGUGCGCUUGAAGUGGGCGGAAUGUGCCGUGUAGCGGUGAAAUGCUUAGAUAUGGCACAGAACACCAAUUGCGAAGGCAGCUCACUAAGGCGAUACUGACGCUGAGGCACGAAAGCGUGGGGAUCGAACAGGAUUAGAUACCCUGGUAGUCC
rnacentral:rRNA from 1 species